UCAUCGGCUGAGAAGGUGUGGGGAUCAUAUCUUUCCUCCUAAUCAGCUGAUGACA
rnacentral:precursor_RNA from 1 species